rnacentral:rRNA from 1 species
CCUACGGGUGGCAGCAGUGAGGAAUAUUGGUCAAUGGGCGGAAGCCUGAACCAGCCAAGUCGCGUGAGGGAUUAAGGCCCUGCGGGUCGUAAACCUCUUUUGCCGGGGAGCAGAGGUCCGGACGUGUCCGGGCCGGGAGAGUACCCGGAGAAAAAGAAUCGGCUAACUCCGUGCGAGCAGCCGCGGUAGUACGGAGGAUGCGAGCUUGACCCGGAUUUAUUGGGUUGAAGGGGUGCGUAGGCGGGCAUUUAAGCCGGCGGUCAAAUGUCGGGGCUCAACCCCGGCCUGCCUUCGAAACUGGGUGCCUUGAGUGGGCGAGAAGUAUGCGGAAUGCGUGGUGUAGCGGUGAAAUGCAUAGAUAUCACGCAGAACCCCGAUUGCGAAGGCAGCAUACCGGCGCCCUACUGACGCUGAGGCACGAAAGUGUGGGUAUCGAACAGGAUUAGAUACCCCAGUAGUC